UCGCUACCCUGACGUGAAAGAAAGGCCUUGCGCGGCUGCUCUACGAAGUGUUGCAGAAAGACUCAAAGUUAGUUGCUGGACGAACAACUCGCUGGGGCCGGAAAACCUGGCCCCAACGAUGGAGUUUGGUGAAUCAUCAAGCAUAAUAUCUUGUAGCAGUGUUCACCGAGGAAGGAGAACGCUCUAGCCGCUGCUGUUGUCCGUUUCAUCCACGUUGGGCGUGAGCUGCACCGCGCCUAUUGUGUUUUAGUAUUCCAUGGACACACAUUAGCAUUCUGAGCGAUUGUGGAGCCACAAUUUACUUCACACGGCGUUGUAUUGUCCACGAGCGCAAACUUUAUUAUCAGCAGUAACUGUUACUCUUCAUCCUACAUGUAGAUUUGGAGUAUACACGGCCUUGUCACGACAGCGACAGCUCUACAGAGUGUUCAAGUGAGAAACAUUAAUUUCAAUUGUUGGUGGACGAACAAAUCACUGGUUCUGAAAAACGCGGCCUGCAUCGAUGGUGUUUGGUGGAUCAUCGAACAGGGUGACCAGCAGUGUUCACCGAGGAAGGAGAACGCACUCGCCACCACUGUCGUCCGAUUCAUCCAAGUGGGCGCUAGCUGCGCCGCGCCUAUUGUGUUCUAGUAUUCCAUGGAUGCACACUAACGUUCUCAGCGAUUGUGGAGCCUUGUCUUCAUGCAGCGUUGCACUGUCCAAGAGCACAAACGUCAGCAGUGACCCAUCAUCAUACAUGUAGAUUUGGAGUAUACACACCAUGCGCCAAUGGGCCUUGGCACAACAGCGGCAGCUCUACGGGGUGUGCAAGUGAGAAACUUUUGUUCCGACUAUUGGUGGACGAACAAAUCGUCGGUGCCGAAAUACGUGGCCUGCGCCGAUGGUGCUUGGAACAUCAAGCAUGGUAUGUGGUGGCUGCCAAUGUUCAUCAAGGAAGGAGAACACUCAGGCCAUCGCCCGUCAUCCAUUUCGUUAGCUGCACUAAGUCUAUUGUGUUCUUGUACUCCAUGGACACACAAUCAUGAAGCAUGGCGUCUGAGCUGUGUUCACAGAGCGGGGAGAUGCUCUCGCCGCUAUCUUAUCUGUCCUGUGUAUUCCCAAGUGUCGAAGGCUCACAACGAUGGCGUUGGACAAGUGAAAUAAGAUGGAAUCAACAUCGUCACAUGGUGCUGUGACCAGGAUACGGAUCAUGACGAACGCUGAUUCAACUGGACGAAUCGCAACCUGACGACGAAGAAUCGCGAGGCUUUUCAGAUGCUGGGACACAAUGGAAACUGAACGACUUUAGAACAGCACUGAAGCGUUAUGUUAUCAUGCAAGACGCCUUUCUGCGCCGCACAAACACAGGCGAUACUACAGCAGAAGAUGUCACUCAUUAUUCUGCAGGUGCACUGGUGACAGGCGCAUGCAAGGUCACGAGAAGGAAGCGGUCUGAUGGUAACUGGAAUGCCAGCAGUAUGAGAGGGUGUGCAUUCUGCGGUGGAUCUCACCUGGACAAGAGCUGCACGAAAUACACAACAGUAGCACAGCGGAAAGAAUAACUGAUUGAACAGAAGCGUUGCAUUGUGUGUUUGCGCACAGGGCACCGGUCAACUCAGUGCAAGGCCACCCGCAAGUGUAAUGUGUGUUCUCGCAUGGGUCACCAAUCAGAGUCACCAUCAUGUCACGAUCUGCCCUGAAUCUCAACAGAAAUCUGACAGCAGUACCAACAUGGUAUCUGAUCAGCCUGUGUUUGACGAGGUACCAGCAUCUAGCACAACAGCAGCUAGUGCAGCAUCAACCAGUAUCGCCAUCGACCGAAAGAUAGUCAGUCGUCUUGAUCGGAGCCAAUCUUCUAACAACGACCUAGCAAUUAGGCAAUUCAUCUCAACUGUCAUUCAACUCGAUCGUUUCCGGUCUCUAUCCAAGUGCCUAGAAGUCGAGUCGGAACUCAAGGUCAAAUGCGACGACGUGAUCCAGCAGCAGCUACGACAAGGCAUCAUUGAACAAGUGAGUCCUUCUACACCUGUGGGUGCCAGAGUGCCCUAUCCGCCUCAUCAACCAGUCGUGAUACCACAGAAGACGAUCACAAAAGUCAGAAUUGUCUACGACGCCUCAGCCAAAGCCAGACGCACUAAUGUGUCCCUGAACAACUGUUUGCAACAUGGCCCAGCUUUGCUGCCAGAUCUGUUUGGCAUUGUUCUACGAUUUUGCCUGCCACCAAUCGUCAUGACCUGCGAUACUGAGAAGGCCAUUCUACAAAUCAGUGUCAACCCAGCAUACAGAGAUGCGACACGAUUUCUGUGGUUCGCCAACUCCGACAGUACAUCAGCCUGGCAACGUAUCGCUUCUGCCGGGUACCGUUCAAGCUCAUAAGCAGUCCAUUUCUGCUUGGCACGUCUAUACAGCAGCAUCAUUUGGCACAGCAAGAUGACAAAACAGCUAGCAGUGGCUAUUGGUGAGAACAUUUUCUGCUGUGCCAUUGGAGUGUGCACUAUACACAUACCCUGCUCUUUUGUUGGCACCGCCUGUGUAACUUACUGCAUAGGGUGCAAGGUGACCGUUGUCGGUUUACAUGUACUCCAGUUAUUACACCGUGCAUGCACUGAGUCUGUGCUGUACUGUGCCGCAUCCAUAGGUGUUCGUUUGCGGUAGCGCAAGGUGACACACAAGGUUGAUGUAUUGUGUUGUGCGCUGCUAUUUGAAGCUCUCGGAGUCGGAAGCGUUACCUCUGUUUCCCCUGUUCCUCCCUGAGCGGAGUCUGUAGUUCUGGCUUUCAGUCGCUGUUACAUGCAUGUUGGCAGUUGCAUGUGUUUUGGUUAUCAGUUGUCUUUAUUUGUUUUGUGUGGACGACGCCAGUUCAAUAUUCUAGCAGUUGUUACGCUGCCCAUGUUCCGUAGUUAUCUGCUGUUGGUGUUCGAGAGAGCAAACUGUGUUCUUCUCCAGAGUGGAGUAAGCCA